rnacentral:tRNA from 1 species
GGUGGGUUGGCUGAGUGGUUAGAGCAUAGGCCUCAAAACCGAAAGAUCGCGGGAUCGAAUCCCGCUAGAGGCUG